CCUACGGGUGGCAGCAGUGAGGAAUAUUGGUCAAUGGACGAGAGUCUGAACCAGCCAAGUAGCGUGAAGGAUGACUGCCCUAUGGGUUGUAAACUUCUUUUAUAUGGGAAUAAAAUGUUCCACGUGUGGGAUUUUGUAUGUACCAUAUGAAUAAGGAUCGGCUAACUCCGUUCCAGCAGCCGCGGUAAUAAGGAGGAUCCGAGCGUUAUCCGGAUUUAUUGGGUUUAAAGGGAGCGUAGGUGGAUUGUUAAGUCAGUUGUGAAAGUUUGCGGCGCAACCGUAAAAUUGCAGUUGAAACUGGCAGUCUUGAGUACAGUAGAGGUGGGCGGAAGUCGUGGUGUAGCGGUGAAAUGCUUAGAUAUCACGAAGAACUCCGAUUGCGAAGGCAGUUCACUGGACUGCAACUGACACUGAGGCUCGAAAGUGUGGGUAUCAAACAGGAUUAGAUACCCUUGUAGUC
rnacentral:rRNA from 1 species